GUGCUCUUAGUUCCUUAUCCUUUUGUGUGGCGACACCAAUUGUGGACGAAUCUAGCGCCUGGCAAACGUCUCCAUCUAAUGUCAGCUCGAAUUGAGCCCGGCCUGGUUCCCUUGAAAAUUGGCACAAGUGGCUUAUGGUCCGUUAUAACGUAGACAUCCGGAUUCCCAACCAGCUCUCGAUGAUAUUGCGACG